rnacentral:rRNA from 1 species
GACGAACGCUGGCGGCGUGCUUAACACAUGCAAGUCGAACGGAAAGGCCCUUCGGGGUACUCGAGUGGCGAACGGGUGAGUAACACGUGGGUGAUCUGCCCUGCACUUUGGGAUAAGCCUGGGAAACUGGGUCUAAUACCGAAUAGGACCACGCGCUUCAUGGUGUGUGGUGGAAAGCUUUUGCGGUGUGGGAUGGGCCCGCGGCCUAUCAGCUUGUUGGUGGGGUAAUGGCCUACCAAGGCGACGACGGGUAGCCGGCCUGAGAGGGUGACCGGCCACACUGGGACUGAGAUACGGCCCAGACUCCUACGGGAGGCAGCAGUGGGGAAUAUUGCACAAUGGGCGCAAGCCUGAUGCAGCGACGCCGCGUGAGGGAUG